GACGAACGCUGGCGGCGUGCUUAACACGUGCAAGUCGAACGGUAAGGCUCCAGCUUGCUGGGGUACACGAGUGGCGAACGGGUGAGUAACACGUGGGUGACCUGCCCUGCACUUCGGGAUAAGCCUGGGAAACUGGGUCUAAUACCGGAUAGGACCAUGAUGUGGAUACUGUGGUGGAAAGUUUUUUCGGUGUGGGAUGGGCCUGCGGCCUAUCAGCUUGUGGGUGGGGUAAUGGCCUACCAAGGCGGCGACGGGGAGCCGGCCGGGGAGGGUGGACGGCCGGACUGGGACUGGGACACGGCCCAUACUCCUGCGGGCGGCGGCAGUGGGUGAUUUUGGACUAGGGGGGAAACCCUGAUGCAGCGCCGCCCCGGGAUUUAGAAGGCCUUCGGGUUGUAAAACUCUUUGCUAUGGGAAGAAAAUGACAGUACCAUAGGAAUAAGGACCGGCUAAUUACGUG
rnacentral:rRNA from 1 species